AAGAAGCGAAGCGGUGACGUGGAGCAAACCUCAGAAAGCCAAUCUCAGUUCGGAUUNUAGGCUGCAACUCGCCUACAUGAAGUUGGAAUCGCUAGUAAUCGCGAAUCAGAAUGUCGCGGUGAAUACGUUCCCGGGUCUUGUACACACCGCCCGUCACACCACGAGAGUUUACAACACCCGAAGUCAGUGGCCUAACCGCAAGGAGGGAGCUGCCUAAGGUGGGGUAGAUGAUUGGGGUGAAGUCGUAACAAGGUAUC
rnacentral:rRNA from 1 species